rnacentral:rRNA from 1 species
CCCUUAGAUGUUCUGGGCCGCACGCGCGCUACACUGACGAAGUCAGCGAGCAUGUCCUACGCCGACAGGUGCGGGGAAUCUUGUCAAACUUCGUCGUGAUGGGGAUUGAUUAUUGAAAUUCUUGAUCAUCAACGAGGAAUUCCUAGUAAGCGCAAGUCAGCAGCUUGCGUUGAUUACGUCCCUGCCCUUUGUACACAUCGCCCGUCGCUACUACCGAUUGAAUGGUUUAGUGAGAUCUUCGGAUUGGCGCCACUGCGGCUCAGCAAUGGGCUCGGUGGAUGCCGAAAAGUUGAUCAAACUUGAUCAUUUAGAGGAAGUAAAAGUCGUAACA